UACGUAGGGGGCGAGCGUUGUCCGAAGUUACUGGGCGUAAAGCGCGCGUAGGCGGUUUCUUAAGUCUGGGGUGAAAGGUUCAGCGCUCAACGUGAACAGUGCCUUGGAGACUGGGAGACUUGAGUGUGGCAGAGGAGCAUGGAAUUCCUGGUGUAGCGGUGAAAUGCGUAGAGAUCAGGAGGAAUACCGAUGGCGAAGGCAGUGCUCUGGGCUAACACUGACGCUGAGGUGCGAAAGCGUGGGGAGCGAACGGG
rnacentral:rRNA from 1 species